rnacentral:rRNA from 1 species
AUUGAACGCUGGCGGCAGGCCUAACACAUGCAAGUCGAGCGAGCGGCGGACGGGUGAGUAAUGUAUGGGGACUGCCCGAUAGAGGGGGAUAACUACUGGAAACGGUGGAUAAUACCGCAUACUAUCGGAUAACCCAUAUGUGAUUCGCUAGUUGGUGUGGUAAAGGCUCACCUAGGCGACGAUCUCUAGCUGGUCUGAGAGGAGGACCAGCCACAGUGGGACUGGGACACGGCCAAGAUUCCUCGGGAGGCAGAAGUGGGGAACAUUGCACAAGGGGCGAAAGCCUGAUGCACACAUGCCGCGGGGAUGAAGAAGGCCUUAGGGUGGUAAAGUACUUUCAGCGGGGAGGCGUUACCCGAAGAAGAAGCACCGGCUAACUCCGUGCCAGCAGCCGCGGUAAUUC